CGGGUAGGCCGGACGACCGCUCCUUCGGCGCAUGCCGAGGGGGAGGAAAGUCCGGGCUCCACCGGGCAGGGUGCUGGAUAACGUCCAGGCGGGGAAACCCGACGGAUAGCGCCACAGAAACAUACCGCCUCGUGACGAACGGGGUAAGGGUGCAACGGUGCGGUAAGAGCGCACCAGCGGCCGGGCGACCGGUCGGCUAGGCAAACCCCACCCGGAGCAAGGCCGAAUAGGAGGGCGAAGGGCGCCCGGCCCGCCCUCGGGUUGGCUGCUAGAGGCGGCGGGUAACCGUCGUCGGAGAAAGAUGGUCGUCGCCCCGUGGGAGCGCAGGAAGAAGGCCCUGCCGUAAACUGCACUCCCGCAGGGUACAGAACCCGGCUUACAGGCCUGCCCGUCUU
rnacentral:RNase_P_RNA from 1 species